CCAGCUUUUAGUCUUCAGGCAGCUCUGCAGGCUCAGCCCUGCCCGGCCUUCUUGCUGGAGGCCUGGGGCCAGGCAGAGAGGGCUGCAGACACAGGCAGGUGCCACCAUAAUGUUCUGGUGUCGGGGUUGGAGCUGUUCAUGACUAGCUGUGCCAGGAAAGUUUUUUGUUUUUUAACUUGAUGGAAAUGUUGUGGUUUUCACAUUGUCUUGGGACAAACAGGAGCUUGGUUUACAGUCCCGAAGUAUGUAUCUGCUGAAUUGUCCUUUAGUUGAUUCUCUCGGGUUUCCAAGUUAUGCCUUUUCCCCUUGGGCAGCCGAGGGAGCACAGCUUCUCCACUCAGCCCCUCUUUGGUUUGCUUGCCUCCACUGUCAGGAAAUUCCACCUUAAGUACCCUAACCCUCUCCCUGUGAUGAUGGGGUUUGGACAGACUGAUGGGCAUAGGACUCUUCCCAGUCGCUCCCUGUGCUCCAGAAAAGCUGAAGGCAGACUGGAAACAUAUUAAAUACCUGCAGGAGCCCCACUCACCAGGUGAGCACAGAGGCGGCCAUUCACAAGGCCACGAUUCCACUUCUGCCUUGGGCCGUGGUUACCA
rnacentral:lncRNA from 1 species